AGCCCUAAACCAGAACAGGGGCUCCAAGACACUGAAUGAUACAAAGAAGAUUAGCAUGGCCCCUGCUCAAGGAUGACACGCACAAAUCGAGAAAUGGUCCUAAAUCAG
rfam:Selaginella moellendorffii unplaced genomic scaffold SELMOscaffold_2, whole genome shotgun sequence.